rnacentral:rRNA from 1 species
UGACCCCUACGGGGGGCAGCAGUAGGGAAUCUUCCACAAUGGGGGAAACCCUGAUGCAGCGACGCCGAGUGAGUGAAGAAGCGUUUCGGCGCGUAAAGCUCUGUCAGCGGGGAAGAAACACGGUUCGCGAGAGCCGCGGACGGUACCCGACCAAGAAGCCCCGGCUAACUACGUGCCAGCAGCCGCGGUAAUACGUAGGGGGCAAGCGUUAUCCGGAUUCACUGGGUGUAAAGGGAGCGUAGACGGCGAGACAAGUCUGGAGUGAAAGGCCGGGGCCCAACCCCG